rnacentral:rRNA from 1 species
UGCUCCAGUUGAUCGCAUGGUCUUCUGGGAAAGCUUUCGCGGUAUGGGAUGGGGUCGCGUCCUAUCAGCUUGACGGCGGGGUAACGGCCCACCGUGGCUUCGACGGGUAGCCGGCCUGAGAGGGCGACCGGCCACAUUGGGACUGAGAUACGGCCCAGACUCCUACGGGAGGCAGCAGUGGGGAAUAUUGCACAAUGGGCGCAAGCCUGAUGCAGCGACGCCGCGUGAGGGAUGGAGGCCUUCGGGUUGUAAACCUCUUUUAUCGGGGAGCAAGCGAGAGUGAGUUUACCCGUUGAAUAAGCACCGGCUAACUACGUGCCAGCAGCCGCGGUAAUACGUAGGGUGCAAGCGUUAUCCGGAAUUAUUGGGCGUAAAGCGUGCGUAGGUGGCCAAUUAAGUCAAAUGUGAAAUCCCCGAGCUUAACUUGGGAAUUGCAUUCGAUACUGGUUGGCUAGAGUAUGGGAGAGGAUGGUAGAAUUCCAGGUGUAGCGGUGAAAUGCGUAGAGAUCUGGAGGAAUACCGAUGGCGAAGGCAGCCAUCUGGCCUAAUACUGACACUGAGGUACGAAAGCAUGGGGAGCAAACAGGAUUAGAUACCCUGGUAGUCCAUGCCGUAAACGAUGUCUACUAGCCGUUGGGGUCUUUGAGACUUUAGUGGCGCAGCUAACGCGAUAAGUAGACCGCCUGGGGAGUACGGUCGCAAGACUAAAACUCAAAGAAAUUGACGGGGGCCCGCACAAGCGGCGGAGCAUGCGGAUUAAUUCGAUGCAACGCGAAGAACCUUACCUGGGCUUGACAUGUGCCUGACGAUCCCGGAGACGGGGUUUCCCUUCGGGGCGGGUUCACAGGUGGUGCAUGGUCGUCGUCAGCUCGUGUCGUGAGAUGUUGGGUUAAGUCCCGCAACGAGCGCAACCCUCGCCGCGUGUUGCCAGCGGGUCAUGCCGGGAACUCACGUGGGACCGCCGGGGUUAACUCGGAGGAAGGUGGGGAUGACGUCAGAUCAUCAUGCCCCUUACGUCCAGGGCUUCACGCAUGCUACAAUGGCCGGUACAACGGGGUGCGACACGGUGACGUGGGGCGGAUCCCUGAAAACCGGUCUCAGUUCGGAUCGCAGUCUGCAACUCGACUGCGUGAAGGUGGAGUCGCUAGUAAUCGCGGAUCAGCAACGC